AAUUAUGUUUCAUAGCAUACAGUUAUCUUUGGCUUUGAUGAUUUUUCCAUCAAUAAUUCACUUUUUAAUUUUUUCCAUAGGGUGAAUCUAAACUUGGAAGAAUUAUACUUUCUAAAAAUGAUUAUUGAUAAAACAAAGCACUCAGAACAGCAAACGACCUUCCUGUUCCCCAUCACAACCCCUCAUGACAGACCACUGGGGAAAAAAAAAAAAAAAGUAGAAAAUAUACCCACAUGACAUUCCUAAUUGUCCAGCCUCUCCCAAGUUCCAACCAAAUUAUUUUCUCAUCAAUAUUUCUACUAUUGUUUGCACUGAAUGCUUGUGAUUGCAUGAGGCUGAUAUUGCCAAAUGCGUCAACCUGGAUAUAGAAAAUUAAAAACAUGUCUGCUGCAGCUUGUACCUGCAGUGCAAAAAGAAGCACUAGCAUAGUUGCUCUAGGAGCUACCACAGUCUGGGAUUCCCUCUUUUUGUCCUGACUGAGAAGAAUGGAGCAGGAGCUCUCCACAACCCUCAAGAGCACAGUGUCAGCCAUGGGCAACCAGAAGGAAACAGUUGUUCUUCAAUGUCAAGGAAUCCUGAUUGAUCUGCAUGUGGACAGCUGGAGAAUGAUAAAACAGCAGGUCGAAUUGAUAAUACUAUGUUUUACCCUCACCUUAAUGCAUUUCCUUUUGGAAUGUAGCCAGAAGGGCCCAGAAUGGCCAUGGUCCCAAGCUUAUGUUACAUACACUGGGAGUAUGGGACUAUGCUCCACCAAAGAAAAUUUAAACUUGGCCACUAUGGUUAUGCAUGGGGCUGAAGUGUAUUCCAAACAUGAGUAGGCUGAUUAAUUCAUAAAAUAUAUGGAAUACAUGUUAAACAGGGUGGUCAUGGAUCCAUGCUUACACUAGCUAUAAUGGGUACACAUUUGGAACUCCCCCCCAGAAAUUUCUAAGUUUGUCUGUGGUAGCAUUAUGAAACGGUUUUAACUUUUCUAAAUGGGAAUGGGUUACAAAAAAUGAGGACAAAGAUCAGCAGAUUCUAUUUCUAAUAAGGAAAAGCAGAGAUACCAUUUCAAUAGGGUACCAAACUGAAAAUAGCGCUGAAUACACACACAACAGCUUCCCAGAUUACUACAGAAUUUACUGGGAGUAAGCUCAAAUAGGACUUUGAUCAUGUACAUGUCUGUCCCCAUGGAUGUGAAUGUUGGUACACUUUUAUUA
rnacentral:lncRNA from 1 species